rnacentral:lncRNA from 1 species
GUGCAUUUUAAAGUGAUUGAUUUUAUGUGGAACAAAUUUCACUUUAAUUAUAAAAAGUGAAUAAACUUUUAGAAGCUAACCUUGGAAGAAGGUAGAGACUGGAAGGGAUCACAAGAAAGGCUUCUGGGAUGUUGACCGUGCAGCAUAACUGUCUGACAUUGGCAUGCCAUUUGUAAACUGUCAAAGUGAUGGUUGGGAGUGUAGCAGUGAGGACAACCAGAGGUCACUCUCAUCACCAUCUUGGUUUGGGUUGAUUUCUCUAAGAAGUACAUGCUGAAAUGAAGAUAAGAGUACAAAAUAUUUAUCGGAGAGUAGUAACACAGAGGAGACACAGGAUUUGGCAGAAACACUAAACCAUGGUGAAGACCGGCUAAAGUCUCUUUGUCCAAAGGGGAGCUCUAAAGUAAAUAUGAGCCAUUAAGGGAGCCCCACACUGGAUGGAAAUGGCCAAGCCUUUUUACAACCACCUUCUCCUUGAGACACUGCCUGCAAUUCACCCUGGGAAAGCAAAACCUCAACUGUUUCUGCCUCAUUCAUUCUUUGUCAGUGCCGUAAGAAGAUUGAGAUUUCAGCUUGUAACUGUUGAAGCAAAACCUAAAGUGGUUAAUAAUGGGAGUUUGUCACAACUAUCUUAACACAAAUAUAAAAUAUUUGCAUGAACUGUAAUAACCUUUUAUUUAUAAAUUAAAAACUUAUUGAUAAAAUACAGAUUUCAAUAACAUUAGUAAAAAAUCUUUUCACUUUUCUUAAGUAAUUCAGAAUAGAUCAUCUUUCAUUUUAGUUCCUACACUUGAUCCUUAGAAGAAAAAGAAACCUAUUUUUUUUAUAAUGCAAACACUUUAGUUUAACAUAAACAAGAAAAA